ACGGAUUUCUUCGGAUUGAAGCCUUGGUGACUGAGCGGCGGACGGGUGAGUAACGCGUGGGUAACCUGCCUCAUACAGGGGGAUAACAGUUGGAAACGGCUGCUAAUACCGCAUAAGCGCACAGUACCGCAUGGUAUGGUGUGAAAAACUCCGGUGGUAUGAGAUGGACCCGCGUCUGAUUAGGUAGUUGGUGGGGUAACGGCCUACCAAGCCGACGAUCAGUAGCCGACCUGAGAGGGUGACCGGCCACACUGGAACUGAGACACGGUCCAGACUCC
rnacentral:rRNA from 1 species